rnacentral:rRNA from 1 species
UACGGAGGGAGCUAGCGUUGUUCGGAAUUACUGGGCGUAAAGCGCGCAUAGGCGGCUUUGUAAGUUAGAGGUGAAAGCCCGGGGCUCAACCCCGGAAUUGCCUUUAAGACUGCAUCGCUUGAAUCCGGGAGAGGUGAGUGGAAUUCCGAGUGUAGAGGUGAAAUUCGUAGAUAUUCGGAAGAACACCAGUGGCGAAGGCGGCUCACUGGACCGGCAUUGACGCUGAGGUGCGAAAGCGUGGGGAGCAAACAGG